CAGAGGGUAGUUUAAAUAAAAUACUAAUUUUGGGGAUUAGAGAUAAGAUAUUAUCUUUCCUCUGA
rnacentral:tRNA from 1 species